AAACUAUAAUCAGGUAACAAUAAUGACUAGAGCCGAAUGAGAGUGGAUUAAUUACUUCAUAAUUGUCCUGCCCACCGCAGAUUUAAGUCAAACACAACCUACCUUUAAAAACAAUGAGUGGUUAUUAAUAACGGUAGUGACAGUGAGUGGCAGGCAGGGGGCGUGUCGAGUGGGACGAGCCAAGGAGGCGAGUAUGACUUCUUUCAAAAAUAGUUCACUUCAUCACAGUCAGUAACCCGUAGAACAGCAGCUGCAGAGGAGGAGAAGGAGGAGGAAAAGGAGGAUAGUGUCAAACAUGGCCCCCUACGGAAAUAAAUAACGGGACCGGGGGGUUGCGGGAGUUUUUUUUUUUUUUCCAAGUAUAAAACCGAGAUCAAAACACCGUGAAAAGAGGAAGCGGACGGAAAAGGAAAAGCAGUUCAAUUCAGCGGCACGUUUCCCUGUGUUGAUGUUGGUGUUGGGCGACGAGUACCUGCCGCAAAAAGUCCCGACGUCCCCCAUUGAAGCUCCCCUGUCCUGUGUGACCCCCCUGACACGGAGAGGAUGGUGAUGGAGGAGCGCAGUCAAAGAGACCGAGGGAGGGGGGGUCCAGUGACAGCAGGAUCAGAGGGAAAGCAGAUCUUUGUGGAGCUCGGGGAGCAGAAUUUUGACGCCAUUUGUCUCUCAACAUAUCGAACGGCCUGCAAACUCAGGUUCAUACAGAAGAGAUGCAACUUGCAUCUCAUCGACAUCUACAACGUGAUCGAGGCGGUGCGAGACGCCGGUCUGAACGCCAUCAAGCUGAACGUGGGCAUCUCCGUCACCCGCCUGGAGAACCUGGUGUCCUCCAUGUUCAACCAGCUCAGCAAACGCCUGCCCACCACGCACAUCAUCAACCCGCAGGAGAGCACCGUCCUCUUAGUGGACUUCAUAUUGGCAGCUGUUGACAGUGAACCAGAGAGUCAACUGACGGCGUUGUCUGUGAAGGCCAUGCUGUCCAUGCUGUGUGCAGGGAAACUGGUGGAUAAACUGCGCUAUGUGUUCUCCCAGAUCUCCGACUGCCACGGUGUGUUGGUCCAGACCAAGUUUGACUGGUUCCUCAGGGAGGCUCUGAAGGUGCCAACGGCCGUGCAUGAAGGACCGUCCUUUGGCUACGCCCACACAUUAGCGCGCUCAUGUUUUCCACAGCAGAAGAGGGUGACGCUCAACAUGUUCCUGGACAUUGUGUCUGAACCCCCGCAGUGUCUGGUCUGGUUGCCACUGAUGCACCGUAUGGCCAACGUGGAGCAUGUCUACCAUCCCGUCUCCUGUUCCUACUGUCGCGGCAACGGCAUGACAGGCUUCCGCUACCGCUGCCUCCGUUGCCGUGGUUACCAGCUCUGCCAGAACUGCUUCUGGCGCGGCAACGCCAGCGGCUCACACAGCAGCCAGCAUCAGAUGAAGGAGCAUUCGUCCUGGAAGUCGCCAGCGACCAAGCUGGGUCGAGCCCUGGGCAGGACUCUGGGCUGCGUCUCCUCCAGAGAAGCCUCUCACCCAAUGUACCCAGAGGAACCAGAGAAGACGCUGAACUUGGCCAACAUUGUCCCCUCCAGACCUGUGGACAACGCCAACGACCCCAUGCUGCUCUCCUCGUCCUCACCGCAGUCCUCCAAACGUUUGGCAGCCGCUCAACGUAUGAACGAGGAACACGCUCUGAUCGCUGCGUAUGUGAAUCGCCUCCAGAGCAGCCCACGCAUGGACAGUCCCAGCAGACAAGACGAGGAGCACAAACUGAUCGCCCGCUACACCUCCAGACUGGCAGAGACCGACGGCUCAGGGGUGAUACCGAACCGCAGCAUCAACUUUGAUGUGAACAAACAGAAGAGGGAGCUCAUCGCUCAGCUGGAGUGCAAAAACAGGGAGAUCUUGGCCGAGAUCAAACGUCUGCGCACCGAGCACGACGCGGCGUGCCAGCUGAGUCCGGAGAAAGGCAGCACCAACCCCACCCUGCUGGCCGAGCUCCGCCUGCUCAGACAGAGGAAAGACGAGCUGGAGCAGAGGAUGUCGUCUCUACAAGAGAGCAGGAGGGAACUGAUGGUGCAGCUGGAGGGACUGAUGAAGCUGCUGAAGGACGAGGAGCAACGACAGGCAGCGCAGGCCGCUGGAUCUUCUCACGCCUCUCCAUCUCGACCCAGUCCAUCCACGGUCCGCACUGUGUCUCCGCAGGCACACAUGUACCUGCCUCAGGACUCCCUGGCAGGGGUGGGUGGUGACGUACAGGAGGCCUUUGCUCAAGGUUCCAGGAGGAACCUCAGAAAUGACCUCCUUGUUGCCGCAGACUCCAUCACCAACACUGUGUCGUCACUGGUCAAAGAGCUCCACUCAGAUGAAGGUCGGGAGGAAGAGGAGCGAUUGUUGAACGGGAAGGACAGAGGUAAGUGAGAUACUAACCUGCUAACACGCCGGCCGACCCACAGGGAGACAGACCUGAGGCCAGACGUGGUCCAUCGUGCGUGACCCACACAGUUAAGUCCCAACAUUUACAGACUGUUCUUGGUGAAUGUCAGCACCUGUCCAACGCCGUCCUCUGUCCGUUUCUCUGUGUUACGGCAGAAUCUGUUGCACUUCAGUUCAUUUGGAGACAUGUUUUUCUCUCUCACUCCCUGACCACCGUCUCCUCCUCUCUUCAGCAGGUUAAAGUGAUGGAAACAGAAGAGAGACACAACAAGAGUUGAGCGGUCACCGCGGCCAAUCACGUCAGUCCUUCCAGGGAUUUGAAAAAAUAUCUUCUCUGCGAUCUUCAUUUCAACCAGUGGGGGCUCAGAAGCUCCACUGCCAAUCAACCAAUCACGAUGCUGGACACCAAAUGACCCCACGGGGGUCCCCUACUGAUGUAUAGCUGUGAUUCUGUGUGUGUGUGUGUGUGUCCCGUCACUGUUUGUUGUGAUUUGACAGCUGCAGAGCUUGAGCGCGGACACUGAUAACCUACUGAUUUGUACUGUAGCUCAUGUUUGCGCUCUGAGUUUUAUUGGUUAGUUUUUUUUUUUUCGGCUGGUUUGAGUAAGUCUAAGAGAGAUGAUGUGAAGAGAGGAAGAAAAGUAGGUUUGAGGAAGGAUUUGUGAAGGUUGUGAAAAAGUGUUGAAUUUCCAGGAACAGGAUGGAGGAAACAGGAAGUGAAUGACGAGGGGGAAAAGGAAAGAUAAAGACGUUGAGGUGUUAAAGUUUCAGCACUGUGUGCUCUGUAUUUAUUCAUCUGUUCUGAUUGGCUUUGGCUGUUUGAGUGGGUCAGUGUGAGCCAGUCUGCUCAGACAAUAAGCUUUAAUGGGAAGUGAUACCCCGCCGCCGCCGCCUUCCUCCUGCAGGAGUCACAAGUUAAAAAGCCCUGGUCCUGGACCAGGUUCUUGUCAUGGUGCUGAGAGCAGCUCAGGUUUGGUCCCAGUCUCUCUGUGGUUUCCUGGUGCUGCUGUGAGACAAUAGAUGAAGAGGACAUAUUUGAUUACUCUGUGUGUGUGUGUGUGUAUAUGUGUGUGCAGCCCCAGUGGUGAAAUAACUGACGCUGCAGCCGACAGUUAUCGUCUGUCCGUAUCUCUGGUCUGGACUUCGUUAUUCAGACCUCAAAAAAAAAAGUGACAAAUGUUUUGAAUUGUUGUCGAUCCCUAAACCAAAGAUGUUUCUCUAAGUCACGUGGAGCAGCAGCAGUUGGAUUUAUUAUUAUUAUUAUUAUUAUUUGUUUUAUUUAUUAUUUACUAGUUUAAAGACAGAUGCCUGCAUACUGAGUUUUUGAGUCGGUGUGACUUUUUUUUUUUUUUCUAACUUAUAGUUUAGAAAAAUUGACUUUUGAAAAUCCACACAUUUUCACACAUUGAUGUCAAUACAUUUUUAUACAUCCGUACACACAAGCCAUAUGUUAAAAAAAAACUGUAAAAAAAACAUGUAUCCCCUUAAGAGAGGGUGAGCUCUGUGUUGUCAGCAUACUGACUACAUUACCCAUAAUCCUCCAGAGCAUAGCAACUCAUGGAAGACGUAGCGUAGUUGAAAUGCAUCCAUGUUCUGUUCAGUCAGGUGAAUUACCGUACAGCACCAAAACAAAGCCGCACAUUUGACACACUGUGAGUGUGAACACACACACAAAUGUGGCUUAUAGUCUGUCAUUGGUGCAGAGAUGAUGUGUGUGUGUGUGUGUGUGUGUUUACACACAUUGUUGUAGAGGUUAAACACGGUGCAGUUUUAUUUUUCGUGAAUUACCAUAAUUCAGUUGUGCAUGGCUUUGAUUUCAGAAUCUAAAUCUGAGUUUAGCGUCUUUUAGAAGCAGCGUCAGGUUGACGUCAGACUUUUUUUGUUUUGGCUCUUUUACUGCUGUUUGAUCGCACUUGUUUGUUGAAGCUAAAGUGAAAUGAAGCUCGGUGGGAUGUCGGACCACCUCUGACACCAGCCUCUAAUACCAUAGACUUAUGCUAUCGCUCUGUUCUGGGGCUGAAGCUACUGCUUGUUUUUCUAAAACAAAAAAAAAACAUAAAAAAAUUAUUAUAUUAUUGAUUAAAUCAAUUGUUUUAUGUCAUUAAAUGAUGAAAGCUGCCACCGGAAUUAACACGUGAAGCUAGAGAAUAAUUAAAGUCAUUCAAACUGAUUGAUCAAUGAUCAGUGUAGCUAUUUAUAUUAAUUUGUUGAAGCUGAUUAUUGUUGAUUGAUUAAUCGUUAACUGCUAUUUAACAGCAAGCCUCCAUGACCCAAAGUGAUUUUUGUUAAACCUGUUACAAAGUGUGAGACAUUCAACACCAACGACGUUGUCGAUACCUUUUUGGCCGUUUGUGGUUUUUCCUUGUGUGCCUAUUGAAGUAUGUUGUAUUUUUUUUUUCUCUCUAAUGUACAUUUCUGGAACCUGGAUGUGUUUGUUUGCCCUGCUCUCUCUCUCUCUCUCUCUCUCUCUCUCUCUGUCUGUCUGACCGACUACUCGCAACUGGAACGUGAUAAUUUCAGUCCAUCUGUGAUUGACAGAGUGUUCGUGUUAGUUUUGAAGGUCCCAUCUGUGUGUGUGUGCGUGUAUGUGUGCGUGUAUGUGGGUAUGUGAAGGAGAGAAAUCAAGACUGACAGGACAAACGUGUCCAGACACGCAACUGUAAACACCAACGCCAGCUCUGAAACCGGCCCGAGCCGACGGUGUGAGUGAGACGUGUGGAUCAACUGCAAUAAAUAAUAUUUAACAUCUG